UACAGAGGUCUCGAGCGUUGUUCGGAUUCAUUGGGCGUAAAGGGCGCGUAGGUGGCGCGGGUAGUCAUCGGUGAAAGCUCAGGGCUCAACCCUGAGUCGGCCGGUGAUACUCCCGUGCUUGAGUGUGGUAGAGGCCAAUGGAAUUCCGGGUGUAGCGGUGGAAUGCGUAGAGAUCCGGAAGAACACCGGUGGCGAAGGCGGUUGGCUGGGCCACAACUGACACUGAUGCGCGACAGCGUGGGGAGCAAACAGG
rnacentral:rRNA from 1 species